UGGGACACUACUGUACCUACCAAGAAACAUA
rnacentral:piRNA from 1 species